CGGACGGGUGAGUAACGCGUGGGCAACCUGCCCCGCACUGGGGGACAACAGCUGGAAACGGCUGCUAAUACCGCAUAAGCGCACAGCUUCGCAUGAAGCGGUGUGAAAAACUCCGGUGGUGCGGGAUGGGCCCGCGUCUGAUUAGCUGGUUGGCGGGGUAACGGCCCACCAAGGCAACGAUCAGUAGCCGGCCUGAGAGGGUGGACGGCCACAUUGGGACUGAGACACGGCCCAGACUCCUACGGGAGGCAGCAG
rnacentral:rRNA from 1 species